rnacentral:rRNA from 1 species
UAAAUAGUCAGGCCGGCUUUUGCUGGUCGCCGACUUCUUAGAGGGACUAUCAGCUUUUAGCUGAUGGAAGUUUGAGGCAAUAACAGGUCUGUGAUGCCCUUAGAUGUUCUGGGCCGCACGCGCGCUACACUGACAGAGCCAGCGAGUAUAUAACCUUGGCCGGAAGGUCUG